rnacentral:rRNA from 1 species
AGAGUUUGAUCAUGGCUCAGAACGAACGUUGGCGGCGUGCUUAACACAUGCAAGUCGAACGAGAACGGUUCCUUCGGGAGCUCAGUAAAGUGGCGCACGGGUGAGUAACGCGUAGAUAACCUGUCCAGGUGUAUGGGAUAGCCCUUCGAAAGGGGGAUUAAUACCGUAUACGUUAGUCUGUUAUAAGGCAGAUUAAGAAAGGUGGCCUCUAUUUAUAAGCUAUCGCAUUUGGAGGGGUCUGCGUACCAUUAGUUUGUUGGUGGGGUAAUGGCCUACCAAGACUUCGAUGGUUAGCGGGUCUGAGAGGAUGAUCCGUCACACUGGCACUGAAACACGGGCCAGACUCCUACGGGAGGCAGCAGUGAGGAAUAUUGCGCAAUGGGGGAAACCCUGACGCAGCGACGCCGCGUGGGUGAGGAAGGCUUUCGGGUCGUAAAGCCCUGUCAGAAGGGAAGAAAUGCGUAUGGGUUAAUAUCCUAUACGCUUGACGGUACCUUCAAAGGAAGCACCGGCUAACUCCGUGCCAGCAGCCGCGGUAAUACGGAGGGUGCAAACGUUGUUCGGAAUCACUGGGCGUAAAGGGCGCGCAGGCGGUUUGAUUAGUCAGAUG